GACGAACGCUGGCGGCGUGCUUAACACAUGCAAGUCGAACGGAAAGGCCCUGCUUUUGUUGCGUGCUCGUGUGGCGAACGGGUGAGUAACACGUGAGUUACCUGCCCUUUUCUUUUGUAUAUCUUCAGGUAACUCUGGCUAUUACCCGAUAGGAGCUCCUGCUGCAUGGUGUUGGUUGGAUCGUUUCGGCGGUUGGGGAUGGUCUCGCGGCUUAUCAGCUUGUUGGUUGGGUAGUUGCUUACCAAGGCUUUGAAGGGUAGCCUGCCUGUGAGGGUGACCGGCGAAAUGGGGACGGAGAUAGGGCCCAGAAGCCAACGGGAGGCAGCAGGGGGGAAUAUUGCACAAUGGGGGGAAGCCUGAUGAAGAAAGGCAGCGGGCGGGAUGAGGGCCUUCGGGUUGAAAACCGAUUUAGAAUGUGAGGAAGAGUGAGUGACGGUAAUGGGUAAAGAAGCACCGGCUAACUACGUG
rnacentral:rRNA from 1 species